AUUGAACGCUGGCGGCAAGCCUAACACAUGCAAGUCGAACGAGUGGCGGACGGGUGAGUAAUGUCUGGGAAACUGCCGGAUGGAGGGGGAUAACUACUGGAAACGGUAGCUAAUACCGCAUACCAUCGGAUGUGCCCAGAUGGGAUUCGCUAGUAGGUGGGGGAAAGGCUCACCUAGGCGACGAUCCCUAGCUGGUCUGAGAGGAUGACCAGCCCCACGGGAACUUAGACACGGUCCAGACUCUUACGGGAGGCAGCAGUGGGGAAUAUUGCACCAUGGGCGCAAGCCUGAUGCAGCCAUGCCGCGUGUAUGAAGAAUGCCUUCGGGUUGUAAAGUACUUUCAGCUGGGAGGCGUUACCCGCAGAAGAAGCACCGGCUAACUCCGUGCCAGCAGCCGCGGUAAUAC
rnacentral:rRNA from 1 species